AAAUAGUUACUGCAGCUUCCCACAAGAGUAUAAACAUGUGGGAUGAGGAGAAAGACUCACCUGAUAAAGAGAAGGACUUGAAACCCAGAAAGG